UUAAGAAUGCCAGAGACUCAUGGGAUUGCUUUAGGUGCAGAAUACGGUGCAGUGCACCUUCUUAAA
rnacentral:tRNA from 1 species